GUUGGGUAGGGGAGCGUUCUGUAAGCCUGUGAAGGUGGCCUGUGAGGGUUGCUGGAGGUAUCAGAAGUGCGAAUGCUGACAUAAGUAACGAUAAAGCGGGUGAAAAGCCCGCUCGCCGGAAGACCAAGGGUUCCUGUCCAACGUUAAUCGGGGCAGGGUGAGUCGACCCCUAAGGCGAGGCCGAAAGGCGUAGUCGAUGGGAAACGGGUUAAUAUUCCCGUACUUGGUGUUACUGCGAAGGGGGGACGGAGAAGGCUAUGUUGGCCGGGCGACGGUUGUCCCGGUUUAAGCGUGUAGGUGUGUGUUCCAGGUAAAUCCGGUUCACUUUAACACUGAGGCGUGACGACGAGGCACUACGGUGCUGAAGCAACAAAUGCCCUGCUUCCAGGAAAAGCCUCUAAGCAUCAGGUAACAUCAAAUCGUACCCCAAACCGACACAGGUGGUCAGGUAGAGAAUACCAAGGCGCUUGAGAGAACUCGGGUGAAGGAACUAGGCAAAAUGGUGCCGUAACUUCGGGAGAAGGCACGCUGACACGUAGGUGAAGUGAUUUACUCAUGGAGCUGAAGUCAGUCGAAGAUACCAGCUGGCUGCAACUGUUUAUUAAAAACACAGCACUGUGCAAACACGAAAGUGGACGUAUACGGUGUGACGCCUGCCCGGUGCCGGAAGGUUAAUUGAUGGGGUCAGCGCAAGCGAAGCUCCUGAUCGAAGCCCCGGUAAACGGCGGCCGUAACUAUAACGGUCCUAAGGUAGCGAAAUUCCUUGUCGGGUAAGUUCCGACCUGCACGAAUGGCGUAAUGAUGGCCAGGCUGUCUCCACCCGAGACUCAGUGAAAUUGAACUCGCUGUGAAGAUGCAGUGUACCCGCGGCAAGACGGAAAGACCCCGUGAACCUUUACUAUAGCUUGACACUGAACAUUGAGCCUUGAUGUGUAGGAUAGGUGGGAGGCUUUGAAGUGUGGACGCCAGUCUGCAUGGAGCCGACCUUGAAAUACCACCCUUUAAUGUUUGAUGUUCUAACGUGGACCCGUUACCCGGGUUGCGGACAGUGUCUGGUGGGUAGUUUGACUGGGGCGGUCUCCUCCUAAAGAGUAACGGAGGAGCACGAAGGUUGGCUAAUCCUGGUCGGACAUCAGGAGGUUAGUGCAAUGGCAUAAGCCAGCUUGACUGCGAGCGUGACGGCGCGAGCAGGUGCGAAAGCAGGUCAUAGUGAUCCGGUGGUUCUGAAUGGAAGGGCCAUCGCUCAACGGAUAAAAGGUACUCCGGGGAUAACAGGCUGAUACCGCCCAAGAGUUCAUAUCGACGGCGGUGUUUGGCACCUCGAUGUCGGCUCAUCACAUCCUGGGGCUGAAGUAGGUCCCAAGGGUAUGGCUGUUCGCCAUUUAAAGUGGUACGCGAGCUGGGUUUAGAACGUCGUGAGACAGUUCGGUCCCUAUCUGCCGUGGGCGCUGGAGAACUGAGGGGGGCUGCUCCUAGUACGAGAGGACCGGAGUGGACGCAUCACUGGUGUUCGGGUUGUCAUGCCAAUGGCACUGCCCGGUAGCUAAAUGCGGAAGAGAUAAGUGCUGAAAGCAUCUAAGCACGAAACUUGCCCCGAGAUGAGUUCUCCCUGAGACUU
rnacentral:rRNA from 1 species